rnacentral:rRNA from 1 species
CCCUUAAAGAUGGAGAUAACCUUCCGAAAGGAGGGCUAAUACCGAAUGAGACCACAGGUACCCCGGUACAAGGGGUUAAAAGAUGGCCUCUACUUGUAAGCUAUCGCUUGAGGAUGGGCUUAUGCACCAUUAGCUUGUUGGUGAGGUAACGGCUCACCAAGGCUCUGAUGGUUAGCUGAUCUGAGAGGUUGAUCAGCCACACUGGAACUGAGACACGGUCCAG